GACGAAGUAGUUCAGUUCGGUAGAACAACGGGAUCAUAAUCCGUAUGUCGGGGGUUCAAGUCCCUCUUUCGUCA
rnacentral:tRNA from 1 species